UAGUCCGCACGAGCGCACCCUUAUUUUUAGUUGCCUUAUGGAACUCUAGAAAGACUGCCGGUUAUAAACCGGAGGAAGGCGGGGAUGACGUCAAGUCAGCAUGCCCCUUACACCCUGGGCUACACACGUGCUACAAUGGGCGAGACAAUGAGAUGCAAGUCUGCGAAGAUUAGCUAAUCUAUAAACUCGUUCUAAGUUCGGAUUGUAGGCUGCAACUCGCCUGCAUGAAGUUGGAAUCGCUAGUAAUCGCUGGUCAGCUAUACAGCGGUGAAUUCGUUCCCGGGCCUU
rnacentral:rRNA from 1 species